UUUUAGCCCAGAACUUCACGCCAAGAACAGGGAUCCUGCGCAAACUCCUUUUUACCGGUGGCGGGAUGUAUCGGCGCACCAUCCACCAUUGGCGCUUGCGUCAAGAUUGGUGAGGGAACCACGUAGGAUUUACUGCUUCGUGCUAUACAACAAGGAAUACGAGACACAAUACGAAACGUGGGACCGGGGCAGAAUAAAUAUCUUGCAUCUCACCCGAUCUCUCUCUCUCUUCCCCUUUUCUCUCCCGUGGCCCGUGAGAGGAGCCCUGGACUGGCGGCGGCGCCGCUGUACCAGGCGGACGGCGAGGAAUGGGGCUGGAUCACGCCGGCGGAAGACGGAUCCACUGCUGUCGACGUUGGGGUGACCUGCGCCGACGAGGUUCCUCGAUCCCGCCCACCACACGCCCGUCCUCCAGCAUCCUUUUUGCCUGGCCGCCGUCCUCGCCGUGGGAACCAUGACGGCCACCCACCACGGCGGGUCGCAGCUCACGGUCGGCACCAGAUCCGGUGACUCCAAGCACUUCCGCCACCAGCUGCCUCUGGUGAGUCAUGGAGCCCCCCAGCGCCCCUAACCUCUCUGCAUCUGUUCAGAGUUAGUUUUUCUUUAUUAUGCAUGAUAUUGGUUUUUACCCAGAUAAACGGCGAUUAUCCUCUCGAGAUUUGGGAGUGUUGAAAGAAAUCGGGGCUGCCAAUGUUCUCUAUUUUUUCUGAAUGUUUGCUCAGCUUGCAUUUGUGUUCAGUGUUAGAUUUGUGAAGGUGAAAUCUUGUUUUGUGAAAUAUGGAAGAGAUUUAUGGUUCAUAUAGAAUUGAUAAUUUCUGGAAUUCACUCAAGUGAAAGUGAAAUCUGGUUUUGUGUAAUAUGGAAGAGAAUUAUGGUUUAUACAUGUGAAAUAUGGCACCUAUCUGACUUUGUGACACAUGCAAGAGUUAUUUGGUUCAGAUUUGCGAAAGAAAGUGAUAUUAGUCCAUAUUUAAUUUGUGAAUAUGUAAACUCAAAGUGAUAUUGUUGAAAUAUGAAAUAUUUUUUGUCAAAUUCAUAUGUGAAACCCCAUGAAAUUCAUAUGUGUGA
rnacentral:lncRNA from 1 species